GUUUUGGUGUUGUGUUUCAUGGAGUGUUCAGACAAUCGUUUUUGAUUCGCAGUUUGAAGGUCGAGAUCGCUAGGAAGCUAAAGGAUUUGGAUCAAUGUCUGUCACCUCCAUCUACCACAACUACAAAACCUACAACAACAACGACCCCUUUACAAGAUUGUCCCGACGUAAUUGAAAAUUAUUGCACUUCACGUGAGACCUGCGAAACCAGACGUGAAGAAAUUCUGGACCAGUAUAGCUGCCCUAUACAGGGUGAUGUGUGUUGUAGGCUCGCAACCUAAUAAUCGAUCGACGACAUGAUAAUCGAUCGCCCAAACUUAAAGAUGUCAACUCGUUAAAUAAAUAAAGUGUCAUGA